rnacentral:rRNA from 1 species
CCUACGGGCGCAGCAGUAAGGAAUCUUCCGCAAUGGGCGAAAGCCUGACGGAGCAACGCCGCGUGGGCGAUGAAGGCCUUCGGGUCGUAAAGCCCUUUUCUGUGGGACGAUAAUGACGGUACCACAGGAAUAAGUCACGGCUAACUACGUGCCAGCAGCCGCGGUAAAACGUAGGUGGCAAGCGUUAUCCGGAAUCACUGGGCGUAAAGGGCGUCUAGGCGGACGGGUAAGUCGUGCGUGAAAGCUUCCGGCUCAACCGGGAGAGGUCGUACGAUACUGCCUGUCUGGAGGGUCGGAGAGGGACGUGGAAUUCCGGGUGUAGGGGUGAAAUGCGUAGAGAUCGGGAGGAACACCAGUGGCGAGGGUGGCGUCCGG